UCAACCUAUUUUAUAGAUGCAACAGCUAAGGCAAAGGGAAGUUAAACGGUGUGCCCUGAGAUAACAAAACUGGCAAGCCCUGAGAAGGCCCCCAAGGGCCAGCUCUUGACCCCAGAUGUCCCCAUUUCCCCUCCGUUCCACCUGUUCUGUCCUGGAAACACUUGCAGCGCUAUUAUUAAAUGACUUCAUCCCAUCCAUUAAAUGGGGGUCUUUCCACCGAUACUCUGGUCUGUGUCCUUCUCUAUGGUGGGGGCUGUUCUGCACUUGGUAGGAUGUUCGGAAGCAUCCCUGGUCUCCACUCAACAUGAUGCCACUGGUACACCCCCCUCAGGUGUGACAGCCAACCAAAGUCUCCAGACACUGUCAGAUGUCUGUCCUCUGCGGUUAGAAUUGCCCUCGUUAGAUUAACAGUGUGGUCGCCUUUGUUUUAAAAAAGAUUUUAGCUUUCAAAGCUCAUGCUUCGUUCUUCUUUGUGAAGACACUGGCCUUUUGGGUGGUUUUGUGAGGGGCUGUUUUCUUCCCAAGUGCUGGCCCUGAUAAUAGACUUUAUUUACAUAGUAAAAGUCAAACAAAUACUUGCUUCAUCUGCACUUUUGUAGCUGGAGAAAGGAAAUGAAGCUGGAACCGGGUGCUGUUUCUGGGCGUUCAUUGGGGCUACUGGGUAAAGACAGUCUUUUCUUUGGGUCUAGUUUGAAGUCAAAGGGAUACUUAACUUCCCGGGAGUGACAUUCUUGGAAUUUGACGUGCAUGUGUGAAGUCCCACCAGACCUCCGCUGGAAGGUGGGAGCCACAUUUGUAUCCACGCAGGACCUUUCCCCCUGCUUGUAACUUGACUUUUCAUGACAGCUAGAAAAUUACAGUGCUGCUAUUUUUACAUGCUCCUGGCCGAGAGGGAGCAGGAACGAUGUCUGUGUCCUAAGAAACCACAAAGAUUUUGACUUGUUAGUAUUUCCAAGGCCACAUUUUGAUGUGGGUUAUCUGGGGACCCGGGUAACGUGGUCCCCUGUUUCUACGCGUUCCUUUCUCCAUGGAUUCAGCAAAUGUAAAACAUCAGUGGGGGCAGGGGAGGGGCCUGAUUUCUAAAACGUCACUGGAGGGCCUAGAAUUUCAAAUGGGCGGAUGGGGACUCGUCAGGGAGCACUCCGCAGGAGCUGGGUGUCAGUAGGCCUCCUGCAGCGGCAGGAAUGUUUGCUAAGGGGGGAGGAUUGGGGCUCCGGUCCCUCCCUGAAGAAGGCCCUCACCUUAGCCAGAAGCACCAAAGAAGACAUGAAUUGGGGCCUGCUGUGGUCCCAAGGCUGGCUCGUUUGGGAAGCCGCUGACUUUGAGGUUGCCUUUGGGGGACACAGCCACCCUAGAGCAGGGCGGGAGGGCUGUGGCUGGGGAUCCCCACAGCCUGACUCACCCUCUCAGGGGGCUUCAGGCCAUUAAAACAUUUGUCUGGAUAUGAGACAGAGUCCUUAAAUGUCCUUUGUAGUUUGCAUAGUGAGGGUAGGAUGGAAGGGAAUCGGGGCACUUAUUUUGGAUGGAGGUCACACAGCCAGGUGGCAGAAGUCCUAUGUAAACUGUUAGAGCUCCUGAUAGCAGGAGGCUCCCGGCAAAGACCGGCCGUCAGUGGUGGGUGGGUGUGGGAGGUGCCGACCGCCUGAUGUCCCGUCCUUAGUGGUUUGAAAAGAGGUGCCAUGUUAGGGGACCCGGCUGAGUCACCGUCAUUGGUGACGGGAAAGGUUGGAUAGUGGCCGCCUUGGUCAGGACGAGUUGUCGACCACACGUGUCUGCGUUUGCCCCCCACCCCAGCCAAGUUCUUUGUCAGAUAUCAGUAAAGGUUUCAGGAAAGAGGGAGCUGAUGAUGGGAGGGGAUCGGGGACUGACAAACGUCAGCUCUUCUGGAUUUUGCUCUGGAUUUCUGAGUGAAGGCCCGUCGGCAUCAGUGUGUGCGGCUGCUUCGUGGCACUGGACAGCAGUAAAUGGCCCGUGGCUGGGCUGCGCCGACUCCGGGGACGCAGGGCCGGGGUGCCGUGCUGGCUGUGCCUCCAUCGUGCCACCCCAGCCACUUUCCGAGGCCAGCCACCCUUCUCUGAGUUGUUAGGAGGAGUGGGAUUCUGAAGACUCGUUUGUGUUUAAGCGUCAUUGGUGUGGUUAUAAGA